rnacentral:rRNA from 1 species
UUGGCGGACGGGUGAGUAACGCGUGGAAAACCUGCCGUAUACUGGGGGAUAACACUUAGAAAUAGGUGCUAAUACCGCAUAAGCGCACAGCUUCGCAUGAAGCGGUGUGAAAAACUCUGGUGGUAUACGAUGGUUCCGCGUCUGAUUAGCUAGUUGGUGGGGUAAUGGCCUACCAAGGCAACGAUCAGUAGCCGGCCUGAGAGGGUGAACGGCCACAUUGGGACUGAGACACGGCCCAAACUCCUACGGAAGGCAGCAG